CAUCUGGGGGUCCAAAAAGGCUGUCCGAGACCUUCAUUCUAACACAGGGCUUUUCAACCUUUUCAGCCACUGUACCACUUUUAGGAUAUGGCAAUAUCCGAGUACCACCAGUCGCCUAGCAAGGUGUCAAAAACUUGAUGACCAAAAAAAAAAAAAAAAAAAGGAAAAAAGUGAUGAAGUACAGUUUUGAGGCCAUCCAGCUCCAUAGCAAUUCUGCAUGGCUUGAAAUUAAAAGAGAAAAUCAGCUAUUUCAAAGAGGAAAAAAAGAGAAAGCAUACUGGAGACGAACUCAAAGACUGAACAGAAAAACUAAACAAAACAGCUGAGGGGGCUCAGCCACAUGGAAAUCUAAGGCUGGAAGAACAACACUUCCUUAGCCAUUGGGCAGAAAAUGGAAAGCAUGAGAGUAAUAUGAAUGCAUGCUCUAACACGGUCUAUACCUCUGAAACCCUGUGUUUCGCUUCAUGACGCACAUAUGUAUAAUUUCUUGCAAGUUGUGUCCUCAAGAUACUUUGUGAACUUUUA